UGCAGAGAAUCCAGGUCACAUCAGCAGAGUUUAAGUUUUCUUUUAGAAAGAACGAUGAUCCUCUGUGCAUAAUAUUUGAUAGAGCUCUAGGAACUUCUAAAGAACUGCAAGUUUUUUUGCACUAACAAACUAUACCAUUUCCCAAAAUAAAUAAUUCCAAGAAAUUAAAAGUUUGGUGCUACGAAAUGAAGCUUUAUUAAUUUAAUAUUUAAUAUUUUUAGAUGUUUCUGCUAUUUUUACAGCUAGAUAUGAGAACUGGACUGCCCCCCCCCCCUCAUAUUUUUAUAUUUCAAGCAGAGAGAACAAAUUUCACACACCUAGGUGUAUGCAAUGGUGACUCCAAAUGGGACCUCAGCUUAACUGUAGCAGUGAUUACUUUGCUUACUUGUUUUUACUAGUGACUUUUUUUUAUUUUAUUACUACCUUUAUUUCAAAAUAUAUGUUUGUGGGACUUUGCUUUAUUUUUGUUACAUUGUAGUUUUUAUUUUUAUUUUGCAGAAGUUGCUCAUUCCUUUUCAUAUUAUGCCAUUAUGUAAUUGAAGUUCAUCCAUCCAUCCAUUUUCUUGACCGCUUCUUCCCUUUCGGGGUCGCGGGGUGCCGGAGCCUAUCCCGGCUACUGAUGGGCGAAGGCGGGGUACACCCUGGACAGGUCGCCAGUCCGUCGCAGGGCAAUUGAAGUUCAGUUCAGGUCAACAUUUUCAUUUGCUGAAAGUCUCCGUCCUUUGUUUAUUCAAUGAACAAAAAAAAUAUGGUCUAUGUCUGAAAUAAUUCUAUAUUUCUGUCAUGGUGCCUCUGUCAGUCUCCUCCCCCUCUCCACUCUCCUCUCCUCUCCACCUGGCUGCUGAUCAUCCCCAGCUGCAACCACUCAUCUCGUCUCCUCACCUGCCUACUUAAGGAGCUCCAGGACCUUCAUUCCCCGCCAGUCCGUUGCCCCUGAUGGAAUCUCCUACCACGAGUGGUUGCGUGUUUUCAUCCUGCGUCCAGAUCUCCAGUCGGGUCUUCUCUCCACGGUCACACCACGAGCCUCUGCCUCUGCUCCACGUUCCCGAAUCCAAGACGGCCAUCUCCCUCUCGGAGGACAAGAUCGCCUGCUACACCUCCUACCUCUGCCUCCUGCUCGGAACCUGCUUCCUGUCCUGUUCAGGACCCCACCUCCUCGUCACACUAUUAAACUCAUUACCUAC